GAGCAAGACCAAAUAGGGUUCCUUAUGGCGUGGCCCACGUUGGAACCGGGUAGGUUGCUUGAGCCAUAGAGCGAUUUAUGGCCUAGACGAAUGAUUAUCACUUUCUUCGGAAAGGACAGAACCCGGCUUACCGGCUGACUCACUCA
rnacentral:RNase_P_RNA from 1 species